rnacentral:rRNA from 1 species
GGCCGAAAGCGUAGGUGAUGGACAACAGGUUGAUAUUCCUGUACUACCGAUAACCGUUUGAGAGAGGGGAUGACACAGUAGGAUAAGCUAAGCACACGGUUGGUUAUGUGGGCCCAAGCAUUGAGGCAGUCAAAGUAGGCAAAUCCGCUUUGAUAAUGCUGGGAUGUGAUGGGGAGCGAAAUUUAGGAGCGAAGUAGAUGAUUACACACUGUCAAGAAAAGUCUC